UGGGGAAUAUUGCACAAUGGGGGAAACCCUGAUGCAGCGACGCCGCGUGGAGGAAGAAGGUCUUCGGAUUGUAAACUCCUGUUGUUGGGGAAAAGAAGGAUGGUACCCAACAAGGAAGUGACGGCUAACUACGUGCCAGCAGCCGCGGUAAAACGUAGGUCACGAGCGUUGUCCGGAAUUACUGGGUGUAAAGGGAGCGCAGGCGGGUAUGCAAGUUGGAAGUGAAAUGCAUGGGCUCAACCCAUGAACUGCUCUCAAAACUGUGUAUCUUGAGUAGUGCAGAGGUAGGCGGAAUUCCCGGUGUAGCGGUGGAAUGCGUAGAUAUCGGGAGGAACACCAGUGGCGAAGGCGGCCUACUGGGCACCAACUGACGCUGAGGCUCGAAAGUGUGGGUAGCAAACAGG
rnacentral:rRNA from 1 species